GACGAACGCUGGCGGCGUGCUUAACACAUGCAAGUCGAACGGUGAAGCGCCUUCCUUUUUGGUGGGUGUGGAUGAGUGGCGAGCGGGUGAGUAACACGUGAGUAACCUGCCCCCUUCUUCUGGAUAACCGCAUGAAAGUGUGGCUAAUACGGGAUAUUCUGGGUCUGUCGCAUGAUGGGUCUGGGAAAGAUAUUGUUUCGGUGGGGGAUGGGCUCGCGGCCUAUCAGCUUGUUGGUGGGGUGAUGGCCUACCAAGGCGGUGACGGGUAGCCGGCCUGAGAGGGUGGACGGUCACACUGGGACGGAGACACGGCCCAGACUCCUACGGGAGGCAGCAGGGGGGAAUAUUGCACAAUGGGCGAAAGCCUGAUGCAGCGACGCCGCGGGAGGGAUGGAGGCCUUCGGGUUGUGAACAUCUUUCGCCAGUGAAGCAGGCCUGCCUCGUUUGUGGGUGGGUUGACGGUAGCUGGAUAAGAAGCGCCGGCUAACUACGUG
rnacentral:rRNA from 1 species